rnacentral:tRNA from 2 species
GCAGCUGUAGCUCAGUUGGUUAGAGCGCCUGGUUGUGGUCCAGGAGGCCGGUGGUUCAAAUCCUCCCAGCUGUACCA